rnacentral:rRNA from 1 species
UACGUAGGGUGCAAGCGUUGUCCGGAAUUAUUGGGCGUAAAGAGCUCGUAGGCGGUCUGUCGCGUCGGCUGUGAAAACUCGGGGCUCAACCCCGAGCCUGCAGUCGAUACGGGCAGACUAGAGUGCGGUAGGGGAGAGUGGAAUUCCUGGUGUAGCGGUGAAAUGCGCAGAUAUCAGGAAGAACACCCGUGGCGAAGGCGGCUCUCUGGGACGGUACUGACGCUGAGACGCGAAAGCGUGGGGAGCGAACAGG